rnacentral:misc_RNA from 1 species
GAUGAAGAACGUAGCGAAAUGCGAUAAGUAAUGUGAAUUGCAGAAUUCAGUGAAUCAUCGAAUCUUUGAACGCACAUUGCGCCCUUUGGUAUUCCGAAGGGCAUGCCUGUUCGAGCGUCAUUUCACCACUCAAGCCUGGCUUGGUAUUGGGCGCCGCGGUCGAUCCGCGCGCCUCAAAGUCUCCGGCUGAGCUGUCCGUCUCUAAGCGUUGUGAUUUCAUUAAUCGCUUCGGAGUGCGGGCGGCCGCGGCCGUUAAAUCUUUCACAAGGUUGACCUCGGAUCAGGUAGGAAUACCCGCUGAACUUAAGCAUAUCAAUAAGCGGAGGA